AAAUUGAAGAGUUUGAUCAUGGCUCAGAUUGAACGCUGGCGGCAGGCCUAACACAUGCAAGUCGAACGGUAACAGGAAGAAGCUUGCUUCUUUGCUGACGAGUGGCGGACGGGUGAGUAAUGUCUGGGAAACUGCCUGAUGGAGGGGGAUAACUACUGGAAACGGUAGCUAAUACCGCAUAACGUCGCAAGACCAAAGAGGGGGACCUUCGGGCCUCUUGCCAUCGGAUGUGCCCAGAUGGGAUUAGCUAGUAGGUGGGGUAACGGCUCACCUAGGCGACGAUCCCUAGCUGGUCUGAGAGGAUGACCAGCCACACUGGAACUGAGACACGGUCCAGACUCCUACGGGAGGCAGCAGUGGGGAAUAUUGCACAAUGGGCGCAAGCCUGAUGCAGCCAUGCCGCGUGUAUGAAGAAGGCCUUC
rnacentral:rRNA from 1 species